AUUGAACGCUGGCGGCAUGCUUUACACAUGCAAGUCGAACGGCAGCGGGGAGGAGCUUGCUUCUCUGCCGGCGAGUGGCGAACGGGUGAGUAAUACAUCGGAACGUGUCGAGAAGAGGGGGAUAACCACCCGAAAGGGUGGCUAAUACCGCAUAAAUUCUGAGGAAGAAAGCUGGGGACCUAGGAAUAGGCCUAGCGCUUUUUGAGCGGCCGAUGUCGGAUUAGCUAGUUGGUGAGGUAAAGGCUCACCAAGGCGAAGAUCUGUAGCGGGUCUGAGAGGAUGAUCCGCCACACUGGGACUGAGACACGGCCCAGACUCCUGCGGGAGGCAGCAGUGGGGAAUUUUGGACAAAGGGGGCAACCCUGAUCCAGCCAUGCCGCGUGUAUGAAGAAGGCCUUAGGGUUGUAAAGUACUUUUGUUAGGGAAGAAAAGUCAGCUGUGAAUAAUGGCUGAUACUGACGGUACCUAAAGAAUAAGCACCGGCUAACUACGUG
rnacentral:rRNA from 1 species